rnacentral:rRNA from 1 species
CCAGACUCCUACGGGAGGCAGCAGUGGGGAAUAUUGCACAAUGGGGGAAACCCUGAUGUAGCAACGCCGCGUGAGUGAAGAAGUAUUUCGGUAUGUAAAGCUCUAUCAGCAGGGAAGAAAAUGACAGUACCUGACUAAGAAGCCCCGGCUAACUACGUGCCAGCAGCCGCGGUAAUACGUAGGGGGCAAGCGUUAUCCGGAUUUACUGGGUGUAAAGGGAGCGUAGACGGCUGCGCAAGUCAGAAGUGAAAGCCCGGGGCUCAACCGCGGGACUGCUUUUGAAACUGUGUAGCUAGAGUGCAGGAGAGGUAAGUGGAAUUCCUAGUGUAGCGGUGAAAUGCGUAGAUAUCAGGAGGAACACCGGUGGCGAAGGCGGCCUGCUGGACUGCGACUGACGUUGAGGCCCGAAAGCGUGGGGAGCAAACAGGAUUAGAUACCCGAGUAA